rnacentral:rRNA from 1 species
GACGAGCGCUGGCGGCGUGCUUAACACAUGCAAGUCGAACGCUGAAGCUCAGCUUUUGUUGGGUGGAUGAGUGGCGAACGGGUGAGUAACACGUGAGUAACCUGCCUCCUUCUUUGGGAUAACGCCCGGAAACGGGUGCUAAUACUGGAUAUUCACUGGUCUUCGCAUGGGGGUUGGUGGAAAGGGUUUUUCUGGUGGGGGAUGGGCUCGCGGCCUAUCAGCUUGUUGGUGGGGUGAUGGCCUACCAAGGCUUUGACGGGUAGCCGGCCCGAGAGGGUGACCGGUCACAUUGGGACUGAGAUACGGCCCAGACUCCUACGGGAGGCAGCAGUGGGGAAUAUUGCACAAUGGGCGCAAGCCUGAUGCAGCGACGCCGCGUGAGGGAUGGAGGCCUUCGGGUUGUGAACCUCUUUCGCUCAUGGUCAAGCCGCAACAAUGGUUGUGGUGAGGGUAGUGGGUAAAGAAGCGCCGGCUAACUACGUG